AGGACGAACGCUGGCGGCGUGCUUAACACAUGCAAGUCGAGCGGAAAGGCCCUUCGGGGUACUCGAGCGGCGAACGGGUGAGUAACACGUGAGCAACCUGCCCUUAGCUUCGGGAUAGCUCCCGGAAACGGGAAUUAAUACCGGAUACGACUGUGGUAGACAUCUACCACGGUGAAAAGAAUUUCGGCUAGGGAUGGGCUCGCGGUCUAUCAGCUAGUUGGUGGGGUAACGGCCUACCAAGGCGACGACGGAUAGCCGGCCUGAGAGGGCGACCGGCCACACUGGGACUGAGACACGGCCCAGACUCCUACGGGAGGCAGCAGUGGGGAAUCUUGCGCAAUGGGCGAAAGCCUGACGCAGCGACGCCGCGUGGGGGAUGGAAGGCCGUUCGGGUUGUAAACCCCGUUUCAGCAGGGACGGAAGCGAAAGUGACGGUACCUGCAGAAGAAGCGCCGGCUAACUACGUGCCAGCAGCCGC
rnacentral:rRNA from 1 species